rnacentral:rRNA from 1 species
AGUGAACGCUGGCGGCAGGCCUAACACAUGCAAGUCGAACGGCAGCACAGGAGAGCUUGCUCUCUGGGUGGCGAGUGGCGGACGGGUGAGGAAUGCGUCGGAAUCUGCCUAUUUGUGGGGGAUAACGUAGGGAAACUUACGCUAAUACCGCAUACGACCUACGGGUGAAAGUGGGGGACCGCAUGGCCUCACGCAGAUAGAUGAGCCGACGCCGGAUUAGCUAGGUGGCGGGGUAAAGGCCCACAAAGGCGACGAUCCGUAGCUGGUCCGAGAGGAUGAUCAGCCACACUGGAACUGAGACACGGUCCAGACUCCUACGGGAGGCAGCAGUGGGGAAUAUUGGACAAUGGGCGCAAGCCUGAUCCAGCCAUGCCGCGUGUGUGAAGAAGGCCUUCGGGUUGUAAAGCACUUUUGUCCGGAAAGAAAAGCAUUCGGCUAAUAACCGGGUGUUAUGACGGUACCGGAAGAAUAAGCACCGGCUAACUUCGUGCCAGCCGCCGCCGUAACAC